rnacentral:rRNA from 1 species
GAUGAACGCUGGCGGCGUGCUUAACACAUGCAAGUCGAACGAUGAAGCCCAGCUUGCUGGGUGGAUUAGUGGCGAACGGGUGAGUAACACGUGAGCAACCUGCCCCUGACUCUGGGAUAAGCGCUGGAAACGGCGUCUAAUACUGGAUAUGUCCCGUCACCGCAUGGUGUGCGGGUGGAAAGAUUUUUCGGUUGGGGAUGGGCUCGCGGCCUAUCAGCUUGUUGGUGAGGUAAUGGCUCACCAAGGCGUCGACGGGUAGCCGGUCUGAGAGGGUGACCGGCCACACUGGGACUGAGACACGGCCCAGACUCCUACGGGAGGCAGCAGUGGGGAAUAUUGCACAAUGGGCGGAAGCCUGAUGCAGCAACGCCGCGUGAGGGAUGACGGCCUUCGGGUUGUAAACCUCUUUUAGCAGGGAAGAAGCGAAAGUGACGGUACCUGCAGAAAAAGCACCGGCUAACUACGUG